rnacentral:rRNA from 1 species
UACAGAGGUCUCGAGCGUUGUUCGGAUUCAUUGGGCGUAAAGGGUGCGUAGGCGGCGCGGUAAGUCGGGUGUGAAAUCUCGGAGCUUAACUCCGAAACUGCAUUCGAUACUGCCGUGCUUGAGGACUGGGGAGGAGACUGGAAUUUACGGUGUAGCGGUGAAAUGCGUAGAUAUCGUAAGGAAGACCAGUGGCGAAGGCGGGUCUCUGGACAGUUCCUGACGCUGAGGCACGAAGGCCAGGGGAGCAAACGGG